AAUCAACGCUGGCGGCGUGCCUCAGACAUGCAAGUCGAACGCGAAAGGCUCCUUCGGGGGUACACGAGCGGCGAACGGGUGAGUAACACGUGGGUGACCUGCCCUCAGCUCUGGGAUAAGCCUGGGAAACCGGGUCUAAUACCGGAUAUGACUCCAUGACGCAUGUUGUGGGGUGGAAAGCCUUGUGCGGCUGAGGAUGGGCCCGCGGCCUAUCAGCUUGUUGGGGGGUGAU
rnacentral:rRNA from 1 species